AGAGAAAACAGAGGUGACUGGGGAUUCAUAAGCCCACUUCACCUAUUUACCAGCUAACACAACUGGCUGGGCGUCCCCAGCAUGUUAAUUAAAGCUAAUUCUGACAAAGGACUUCAGAGUCUCUUCACAGUGGCAAGUUGGCAACACAUUUCAAGGGAUUCAAAUAAACAUGAAGAUUGAAUAUUGAUUUCUUUGUUCAAAAAGGAACUCACAAAAUUAAAAGAAAGAAAGAAAGAAAGAAAGAGAGAGAGAGAGAAAGAGAGAAAGAGAGAGAUGAAGAAGAGGAUGUAAACAUUGCUACCUUGCUCUUCUCUGUCCCUAUUUGGACUUUGGCUUUGCAGUAUUUUCAGUUUGGUGUCAAGAAACACAAAGAGAAGACCAGAGAAUGGAGAAUACCAGGGAACUACCAGGUUUGCUGCUUUAGAAUAAAAUGUUACUGGUGCUGUUUCCAGAAGACUUGAAGAUUAUGGUCCUGAGUUCCUUCUGCUUUAUGUAGUCACUAAAUGAACACAAAAUGUCUUGCAUCCUCUGGCCUGGUCAAGCAUCAGCAAGGUCAACAAAACUGUGGCAGCUCUGGUGGCAGAAACAGCUUUAAAUCUGAG
rnacentral:lncRNA from 1 species